GAGUUUGAUCCUGGCUCAGAUUGAACGCUGGCGGCGUGCCUAACACAUGCAAGUCGAGCGGUAACAGGUGUAGCAAUACAUGCUGACGAGCGGCGGACGGGUGAGUAACGCUUGGGAAUCUGCCUGUUAGUGGGGGACAACCCGGGGAAACUCGGGCUAAUACCGCAUACGCACUACGGUGGAAAGCCGGGGACCGCAAGGCCUGGCGCUAACAGAUGAGCCCAAGUCGGAUUAGCUAGUUGGUAGGGUAACGGCCUACCAAGGCGACGAUCCGUAACUGGUCUGAGAGGACGACCAGUCACACCGGAACUGAGACACGGUCCGGACUCCUACGGGAGGCAGCAGUGGGGAAUAUUGGACAAUGGGGGCAACCCUGAUCCAGCGACGCCGCGUGGGUGAAGAAGGCCUGCGGGUUGUAAAGCCCUUUCGGUUGGAAGAAAAGUUGCGGCUAACAUGUCGUGACCUUGACGUAACCAACUAAAGAAGCACCGGCUAACUCUGUGCCAGCAGCCGCCGCGGU
rnacentral:rRNA from 1 species